GUAUCUUCAGUGGAGAACAAUCCUUUGAGAAAGAAAAAAAAGGUGUAAGAAAGCUAUGCUUGGGUUGAGGAGUCCGAAUUGACAAGAAAGACUAAGGUUAACCUAGUCUGACAUAGUUUUUUUAUCCGAACAGGCUAAAGAAGAGAAAUCAGCAAAGGGUUGCUGGACAAGGUACUUAUAUGAUAACACUUUGUGAUUUCUCUAUCCAUGAUACUAUUACCUAGUUAUUGGAUAUCAGAAGUCUAUGCAAAUUAUUGUAAUGACUUUAGAAUAGUAG
rnacentral:lncRNA from 1 species